CUUUCUCUGCAUUUUCUGCAAAAACCAGAACAGGUUUUAGGGUUUUUGGAACUCGAACCCAAAAAAGAUUAUUUGGCUUCUUUAUCCUGUAUUUGAUGUACUUCUCUGGUUCAUUGUAGUCGUGUUGUGCAAAUUAGACAUCUCUUGCUCUUAUGCUUCUUAUUUGUCAAAUUUAUGACCGAUCAUAAGUUUAGGUUUUGUGGCUUUGCCAAAGCAUGAUCUUUGGUCGUAGUCAUUAGUUUAUUAGUGUUGCUUGUGAACUGAUUUUACAGGUCAUUGUAUUCUUUUGAUGGUCAAUUGUUGUAAGAUCUUCAAGUAGUCCGUCCGAAGAUGUGUGUAUAUUCGCGAAAAAUACCAAAUACCACGUAUAUUUGGCUGGGAAAAAUAUGCAAUAUUCCCGGUGGCGGCUCCAAGAAUUUGAAUUAGGGUGUUCAGAAAUAAAUAUAUUAUAUUUUUAAACGAAAAUUCAAUAUGUUUUGGAAGUUGUCGUAUUACGCAGUAGACAAUGUUUCGAGAAUGGAGGGAGUUAAAUUUUGUAGUUGUCCUAGACAAAUUCCCAUAUGUUGUGCCAAUAUUUAACUCGUGUAUUACCAAUCUACUAAAACCCUUUUGAAAGAAAUUGUAACGAGUAUAUUGGGGCUAACCUUUUCGAAAGUACGUUGUUUGUUAGGAUGACGUGAUGAGAUUUUUUAUCGUAGUUUUAAAUUCGAAGGAAUAUUAAUUAAGUUAACGGGGUUAUGCAAUGUAGUUGAAUUUUUUUUAAAGCUUUGUCUGUAAUUCUAUAAGCUAACUAGACAAAAAAAAUAGUUAUGUGAAAAUAACACAUUUAGAGCAUCGAUAAUAGAGAUGGAGAGAGAACACAGAGCAUGAUAUUUAAACCAAUAGAUUCUUCUGUCUCUUUUUUUUUCAAUUAGGAUUGUGAGCUUUAUUUAAGGUAAUGCGUUAGGCGUUCAAAUAUGAAUUACCUGGAUUGAUGGGUUGUAAUUGGGUUGUGAUAGAAUGUUCAAUUGAUUGAGUUAGGUGUUGUAAUUGGGCUGUGAUAGAGUGUUCAAUGCGUUAGGUGUUCAAAUAUCCACUGUCCAUUAGCGUUUCCCUUCUUAUAUAUUAGCCAUGCAAAGCAGAUUAAUCAGAAACUGCAAGCAAUGGUUACUCUAGAGUUCAAUCACCAACAAAAAAAGAAAAAGAAAAUAUGAUGGAUCAUAUGCAUAUUCCUUACACUUACCCGGGUUGUAUUGUGUGGGCAUGAAAUCUUCAGCAAUGUGAAAAGUCAGUCAUCAUGUAACAUUACUAACAUAGCUUCUGUGUGCAUACUUUCUGGCUAGGAGAUCUAUUCUACCGCUUGGUGUCUCAAAAAUUUGAGGAUCCUGCUGAAGGAGAGAUAGCCUUUGUGGCAAAGUUCAAGAAACUGUAUGAUGAUUUGACAGCAGGUUUCUUUAAUCUUGAGGAUGAAACUCGAUGAUUGACUGUAAAAUGUCAUGAGAUUCACCCAGUUGGUUUUCUGUUCAUUGUGCUUUUGUACGAGGGAACCAAAUGAGAUUAUUAGGUCCUUAUCGCGCACUCUAGUGUUUGACCUUUGUUUUAUAUGGGUCGGUGUAAUAUCUAUUUUUUUGUAAUUUCAGUUGUUUCUUUUUGGCUUGGCCAAAAAUAAAGAUGCCGCUUUUGCUUGUGAUACUUUAUUUGCACAUGGAUCCAAUAAAUAUAUGGUUGACUUGUAUCUUAA